rnacentral:misc_RNA from 1 species
UAUAUAUAUAUAUAUAUAUAUAUAUAUAUAUAUAUAUA